rnacentral:rRNA from 1 species
AUUGAACGCUGGCGGCAGGCCUAACACAUGCAAGUCGAACGGUAACAGGAAGCAGCUUGCUGCUUCGCUGACGAGUGGCGGACGGGUGAGUAAUGUCUGGGAAGCUGCCUGAUGGAGGGGGAUAACUACUGGAAACGGUAGCUAAUACCGCAUAAUGUCGCAAGACCAAAGAGGGGGACCUUCGGGCCUCUUGCCAUCGGAUGUGCCCAGAUGGGAUUCGCUUGUUGGUGGGGUAACGGCUCACCAAGGCGACGAUCCCUAGCUGGUCUGAGAGGAUGACCAGCCACACUGGAACUGAGACACGGUCCAGACUCCUACGGGAGGCAGCAGUGGGGAAUAUUGCACAAUGGGCGCAAGCCUGAUGCAGCCAUGCCGCGUGUAUGAAGAAGGCCUUCGGGUUGUAAAGUACUUUCAGCGGGGAGGAAGGGAGUAAAGUUAAUACCUUUGCUCAUUGACGUUACCCGCAGAAGAAGCACCGGCUAACUCCGUG